UACGUAGGGUGCGAGCGUUGUCCGGAAUUAUUGGGCGUAAAGGGCUCGUAGGCGGUUUGUCGCGUCGGGAGUGAAAACCAGGUGCUUAACACCUGGCUUGCUUUCGAUACGGGCAGACUAGAGGUAUUCAGGGGAGAACGGAAUUCCUGGUGUAGCGGUGAAAUGCGCAGAUAUCAGGAGGAACACCGGUGGCGAAGGCGGGUCUCUGGGCCGAUACUGACGCUGAGGAGCGAAAGCAUGGGUAGCGAACAGG
rnacentral:rRNA from 1 species